GACGAACGCUGGCGGCGUGCUUAACACAUGCAAGUCGAGCGGUAAGGCCCUUUCGGGGGUACGACGAGCGGCGAACGGGUGAGUAACACGUGGGUGACCUGCCCUCAGUUCUGGGAUAAGCCUGGGAAACCGGGUCUAAUACUGGAUAUGACCUCAUGACGCAUGUUGUGGGGUGGAAAGCCUUGUGCGACUGAGGAUGGGCCCGCGGCCUAUCAGCUUGUUGGUGGGGUGAUGGCCUGCCAAGGCGACGACGGGUAGCCGGCCUGAGAGGGCGACCGGCCACACUGGGACUGAGACACGGCCCAGACUCCUACGGGAGGCAGCAGUGGGGAAUCUUGCGCAAUGGGCGAAAGCCUGACGCAGCGACGCCGCGUGAGGGAUGACGGCCU
rnacentral:rRNA from 1 species